rnacentral:piRNA from 1 species
UAAAUCUUUACGAUUAUGGAGACGUCUGG